GGUUGACUAAGAAAGUGUGAGGAGGAGAGUACACAGCUCUGUGUUAAAUAAUGAGACACCCAUAGAAUCAUAAAGGGAAGGUGACUCUGCUGCUUCCCUGGGGAGUCUGUUUCGAUGCUUAGCCACUCCAUCAGUGAUCCAAUGUCUGUGCAGGACCAGGAAUCCGUAGAUUACAUUUUCAAAGUCUUAAAACUGAUCUCUUGAGAACUUGUGGAUAGCAGCUGGGAAAACUGGGGGUGAGGAUCCCAUGGAAAACUGGAGGAAUUGCCUGAGACGUGGAAGAAUCUUAAAAAGAUUGACUUCACUGUAAAGCGUGAAGCAGUACCUCUACAGUCCAAAGAAGUGUUGGUUAUCAGAAGAAAAUGUGUACUUUUGGAGUGGCUAGUUGAUGAGUCCAGCAAUUUUCUGUGAAGUGUUGACAGUGAGCAAGACCUUUGUUUACAGAGAAAAAAAUUCGAUCAUCAGUACAUUGCAGAGGCCUGGCACUCACAGUCCCCUAUUAGCUUUAUGCAUUACUGACCUCCACAGGCAUUUCAGGGGAAGACACAGCAGGAAGAGACGAAGGUCAGAAAGUGUUACUGC